CCUACGGGAGGCAGCAGUGGGGAAUAUUGCACAAUGGGGGAAACCCUGAUGCAGCGACGCCGCGUGAGUGAAGAAGUAUCUCGGUACGUAAAGCUCUAUCAGCAGGAACGAAAAUGACGGUACCUGACUAAGAAGCCCCGGCUAACUACGUGCCAGCAGCCGCGGUAAUACGUAGGGGGCAAGCGUUAUCCGGAUUUACUGGGUGUAAAGGGGGCGUAGUCGGCGCUGCAAGUACGAAGUGAAAGCCCAUGGCUUAACCAGGUUACUGCUCUGGAAACUGUAGAGCUUGAGUGCGGGAGGGGCAGGCGGAAUUCCUAGUGUAGCGGUGAAAUGCGUAGAUAUUAGGAGGAACACCGGCGGCGAAGGCGGCCUGCUGGACCGUAACUGACGUUGAGGCUCGAAAGCGUGGGGAGCAAACAGGAUUAGAUACCCGGGUAGUC
rnacentral:rRNA from 1 species